AACUGUAUUUUAUUUAAUCUUUUUUCACUUUUUCCUACCAGGUGUUUCCUAAGGCCCCAGGGGCUGCUGGCCAAGGUCAUGUCUGGCUUGUUACUCUGCACUCAACUAUGACAAGUCUUAGGUCUUUGGACUCAGACUGGAAACUGCAUAUCAGCUCACCCGUGUCUCUGGCUUAUGGACUGCAGAUAUUGGGACUCCUUAGCUUCCAUAAUUGUCUCAGACAAUUGCUUAUAAUGAACGGCUCUCUCUUUUUCU
rnacentral:lncRNA from 1 species